AUGAGUAGACUAACAGGAUUCCCUUAGUAACUGCGAGUGAAGCGGGAAAAGCUCAAAUUUAAAAUCUGGCGGCUCUGUCGUCCGAGUUGUAAUUUAGAGAAGUGUUAUCCGCGCUGGACCGUGUACAAGUCUCCUGGAAUGGAGCGUCAUAGAGGGUGAGAAUCCCGUCUUUGACACGGACUCCCAGGGCAUUGUGAUGCGCUCUCAAAGAGUCGAGUUGUUUGGGAUUGCAGCUCAAAAUGGGUGGUAAAUUCCAUCUAAAGCUAAAUAUUGGGGAGAGACCGAUAGCGAACAAGUACCGUGAGGGAAAGAUGAAAAGAACUUUGGAAAGAGAGUUAAACAGUACGUGAAAUUGCUGAAAGGGAAACGCUUGAAGUCAGUCGCGUUGUUCGGGAUUCAACUUUAGCUUCUGCUGGGUGGAUUUCCUGUUCGACGGGUCAGCAUCAGUUUUGGCCGGUGGAAAAAGGUCUAGAGAAUGUGGCAUCUUCGGAUGUGUUAUAGCUCUGGGUCGCAUACAUCGGCUGGGACUGAGGAACUCAGCACGCCGCAAGGCCAGGUUUCGACCAUGUUCGUGCUUAGGAUGCUGGCAUAAUGGCUUUAAUCGACCCGUCUUGAAAAGG
rnacentral:rRNA from 1 species